rnacentral:lncRNA from 1 species
UCAUAACUUCAUCUAACUGUUCUCCGAACCCACUAGAAAGUUUGACACCCAAAGCAUCCAAACAUCUGACCAUGGGCUCCACAAUUUAACAACAUACUGUAUGAAGAGACACUCCCUUUUGCUUAUCAAAACCCGUCACCUGAUAUUUCAUUUGAUGCUUCCCAGUCUUCAUAUUAUGAGAAACAGUGAGCAAAGACAAGAACGAGAGAGGGCAUCCAAAGAAGGUUAGGAAGCAGGUCCGGGAUAAACAAAACUGGCAUCCAUGGAAGGCAGCAAACAUGAGAAUAGUUUUCAUCGCUGCGAGGAAGCACACGCAACAUGCUCCACGGAGACAAAGUGGAACAUCCUGCACUGUGGCAACUGCAGGAUCAACAGGAAGGAGCAGAAGGAAGGACACGUCUCAUCUCCCCUCGCAACUCAAAGUUGCACGGGGCACCAUCUGAGUCACUGAAAAGCAUCCUGAGGCAUAUUGCACGGCUGAAUAGAGGUGGAAGAUGGGCUAAAGUGAUCCAAGAAUUACUGAUUGAACGUCCCCUAUUUUGAGAGAGAGCUGAAAUAUGGAUUUUCUUUUCACCAACACCACUUGCACAGCUGCAUCAGUCAUUAAGCUGUCCUAAAGAUCUGUUACCCAGGAACGAGAUGCCAGGUACAUAUCGUAUCCUGAGGUGAGUUGUGGCAAGGCAUAAAUUGAUCAUGUG